CCCGAUUAAUUCAUUUAUAAGGGUGGAGUAAAGUAUUCAGCAAUCUCGUGAAAAAUGCUUUGAAGUAAUUUCAAGGCAAAUGUGAGUUUGAAUAGGGGCAACACGCCUCCACCCUCCACCCUUCAUGAGUAUAUAACCCGCCAAACGGAGCGUUUAGAAUUGGUGUGGUAGCAUCAUGGAUAGGGGUGGGAGGGGGAGAAUAAAGAGGGGAAAGUGGAAGACGG